rnacentral:rRNA from 1 species
AUGCCGUCGUCAAGCCGCCCGAGGGAGCCGCUCCCCAUCGCGCUCCCGGGCGCCGGCCGCUCGCAGGACUUCCCCUCGCUCUUCUCCGACCUCACCUCGCUCCUCCUCCACCACUCGCCCGCCGCCGCCUCCACCCCCCACGGCCGCGCCCCGGUCUUCUCCUCCUCCUCCCUCUCCAUCCCCGCCCCCGCCGCCCCGGCGCAGGCGCAGGCGCAGUCACACCGCUGGCGCGGGCGGCCAUCGGGGCGUGCGCGGGGGCGGCGGCGGGGGCCUUCACCUACGCGGCCCUGCUGCCGCUCGACGCCGUCAAGACGCGGCUGCAGGCGGGGGCCGCCUCGCGCGGCUCCUGGCAGGUGUUCGCCGACAUCCUGCGCGCCGACGGCCCGCUCGGCCUCUACCGGGGCCUGUCCGCCGUCAUCCUCGGCUCCGCCACCUCCUCCGCCAUCUACUUCGGCACCUGCGAGCUCGCCAAGUCGCUGCUGCGCCCGCACCUGCCGCCCUUCCUCGUGCCCCCGCUCGCCGGCGCCAGCGGCAACAUCUCCUCCUCGGCCAUCAUGGUGCCCAAGGAGCUCAUCACGCAGCGCCUCCAGUCCGGCGCCGCCACGGGCCGCUCCUGGCAGAUCCUGCAGACCGACGGCUUCUUCGGGCUCUACGCCGGCUACGCCGCCACGCUCCUCCGCAACCUCCCCGCCGGCGUGUCAGCUACUCCUCCUUCGAGUACCUCAAGGCCUUCGCCCUCAGCAAGAGCAACGGCGCCAACCUGGCGCCGGGGGAGAGCGUGCUGUGCGCUGUGCGGCGCCCUCGCCGGCGCGAUAUCCGCCGGGCUCACCACCCCGCUCGACGUCGUCAAGACGCGGCUGA